GCCAGUGUUUCAUUUAAGCGUGAACCACCUCUUUCCAUUCCGAACAGAGAAGUGAAACCGCUUAAACCCGAUGAUACCCGCUGUUUCGAUGGCUGGGAAAGUAGGGUACGCUGGCA
rnacentral:rRNA from 2 species